ACCCAACCCCAAUACCAAGAGCAUACCCCAUACCACCACCAACAAAUUGAUCAUCAACCAGAGACCCAACAUCGCUUCGCACCCAACAUAUCACUCUACCAAAGCCGCCUUAGCCAGAACACCCAACGAUCAUUCAACACCAACAACCCCUCCUCCUACCAUAGCCAAGAAGCCCAAACCUCACAAAACCAAAACCUACAACAAC
rnacentral:lncRNA from 1 species